rnacentral:rRNA from 1 species
GCCUACGGGACGCAGCAGUAGGGAAUCUUCCACAAUGGACGAAAGUCUGAUGGAGCAACGCCGCGUGAGUGAAGAAGGGUUUCGGCUCGUAAAGCUCUGUUGGGAGUGAAGAAAGAUAGAGGUAGUAACUGGCCUUUAUUUGACGGUAAUUACUUAGAAAGUCACGGCUAACUACGUGCCAGCAGCCGCGGUAAUACGUAGGUGGCAAGCGUUAUUCGGGUUUAUUGGGCGUAAAGCGAGCGCAGGCGGUUGGUUUGGUCUGAUGUGAAAGCCUUCGGCUU